UGGUCUUAUGGUUUUAAUAGAAUAAAAUUAAAAGAUUGUUCAGUCAAAUGUUUCUUAUUAGAUUGAGGGGCGACUUUGGUGUUGUAGUAGCAGGUAUGAUUGCUCCUUUAUGACCUGGGUGAUCAAGACUUUGGCCGUUUAUAUUUCUCAUCAAACUGAUAUCAUGAUUGUCAUUGAUUUGUAGAAUAAAUACAAAUGCCCAUGUGGGAUGACAUCUGCAUGUUUUUGGACCCUGUUUUGUGUGCUAAAAUCUGACAGGUAAUUCAUGAAGCCAAUUGGGUUGCAGUGCUGAGGGGUUCAGAAUCUUGACUGUACUUGAACAGGUUCUUCUCCCUUGGAGCUUUAUCCUUUUCAGGACAAUAAGAUGGAGUUACAGGGAAGAGUUGUGAAGUUGGGAUAUGUCUUCUUCACAGUCAAGAGAAGCUUUUUAUCCUUUGAUGAAAAGUGAAGCUUUUGUUGCUUAGCAGUAAAGUUGAGUUAUGGACAACAGACAUCAAAUCUUGUGACUUGGAAGGAGACUUUCCAUGUGACAAUAAUUGAAAGAAUCAUAUUAUCAGACCUGAAAGCAAUGAGGGGGCAGCUGAUGGAACAAAUUCCUAGCACUUUUCCCUUGUUCCUCAGAAAAGAAAAAGAAGGCAUGCUAGCAUGCACUCAUGCGCGCACACUCUCCUAAGAGGUCCAGUUACUCCUACGUCCAUGGGCACAUAUGUUGACUGCAUCCAAAAGGGUUAUUCAAAUGAAGACCUUUUCUUCUGCUGUUCUGGAACCUCGCAGUUAUGGAGCAGAAGCAAUGGAAAACAAUGUUCAUGAUUGACAAACUAGUUAUUGCAGUAUAAAACAUGGAACUCAGGAAGAGAGGGAUCCAAGUCAUUUUGAGCAUGGAGUGCACCAACUACAGUUCAAAGUAAUGAAGGAAAGCAACAUGGUAUGACAUCAAUAGUCAGAAGUUCCAAGAUUAUGGUCCAGAUUGACUCUCGAAAGGUGACAAAUAUUUCAUCAUCUUGAAUUUUUUUUAAAUAUAGUUUUUUUAUUAAUAAA